rfam:Myotis davidii contig218939, whole genome shotgun sequence.
CUGACUUAGGGAUCUUGCUAAAAUGCAAAUUCUGAUUCAGUAAGUCUGAGUUUAGGGUGGGACCUGAGAUUCUGCAUUUCUAACAAACUCCCAGGUCAUGCCUA